rnacentral:rRNA from 1 species
GACGAACGCUGGCGGCGUGCCUAAUACAUGCAAGUUGAGCGAUGAAGAUUGGUGCUUGCACCAAUUUGAAGAGCAGCGAACGGGUGAGUAACGCGUGGGGAAUCUGCCUUUGAGCGGGGGACAACAUUUGGAAACGAAUGCUAAUACCGCAUAACAACUUUAAACAUAAGUUUUAAGUUUGAAAGAUGCAAUUGCAUCACUCAAAGAUGAUCCCGCGUUGUAUUAGCUAGUUGGUGAGGUAAAGGCUCACCAAGGCGAUGAUACAUAGCCGACCUGAGAGGGUGGGCAGCCACAUUGGGACUGUGACAGGGCCCAAAGUCCUACGGGAGGCGGCAGGAGGGAAUCUUCGGCAAUGGGCGAAAGUCUGACCGAGCAACGCCGCGGGAGUGAAGAAGGUUGUCGGAUCGUAAAACUCUGUUGGUAGAGAAGAACGUUGGUGAGAGUGGAAAGCUCAUCAAGUGACGGUAACUACCCAGAAAGGGACGGCUAACUACGUG